UGCUGCUGGUAUCAUUGCCCAAGAAGUUGCUGGUGAUGUCCGUAUGACUGAUACUCGUGCUGACGAGGCUGAACGUGGUAUCACCAUCAAGUCAACGGGUAUCUCUCUCUACUACGAGAUGACCGAUGCUUCCUUGAAGAGCUUCACUGGCGCCAGAGAUGGAAACGAGUAUCUUAUCAACCUCAUUGACUCUCCUGGCCACGUUGACUUCUCCUCUGAGGUCACUGCUGCGCUCCGUAUCACCGAUGGUGCCCUUGUUGUCGUCGACUGUAUCGAGGGUGUCUGUGUUCAGACUGAGACUGUGCUGCGUCAGGCUCUUGGUGAGAGGAUUAGGCCCGUGCUCACUGUGAACAAGAUGGAUAGGUGUUUCCUUGAGCUUCAGGUUGAUGGUGAGGAGGCUUACCAGACGUUCCAGAGGGUUAUUGAGAACGCUAAUGUCAUCAUGGCGACGUAUGAGGAUCCUCUCCUUGGUGAUGUUCAGGUCUACCCUGAGAAGGGAACUGUCGCCUUCUCUGCUGGUCUCCAUGGAUGGGCUUUCACGCUGACCAACUUUGCGAAGAUGUAUGCUUCGAAGUUCGGUGUGGACGAGACUAAGAUGAUGGAGAGGCUGUGGGGUGAGAAUUUCUUUGACCCUGCUACAAGGAAGUGGAGCGGCAAGAACACUGGGUCCGCUACCUGCAAGCGUGGGUUUGUGCAGUUCUGUUAUGAGCCCAUCAAGCAGAUCAUUGCUACUUGCAUGAAUGACCAGAAGGAUAAGUUGUGGCCUAUGUUGCAGAAGCUUGGUGUGCAGAUGAAGUCUGAUGAGAAGGAGCUCAUGGGUAAGUCCGUUAUUGCCCAUGUCGACCAUGGUACUUACUGUCUUUUUUUUUUUUUUCAAAGACUAAAAAAUCAUUUUACUAGUGUUACUCAGGUUCUCUCUUCUCUUAUGAUUUUUGUGAUUGACGACAGGUAAAUCCACCCUCACUGACUCCUUGGUCGCUGCUGCUGGUAUCAUUGCCCAAGAAGUUGCUGGUGAUGUCCGUAUGACUGAUACUCGUGCUGACGAGGCUGAACGUGGUAUCACCAUCAAGUCAACGGGUAUCUCUCUCUACUACGAGAUGACCGAUGCUUCCUUGAAGAGCUUCACUGGCGCCAGAGAUGGAAACGAGUAUCUUAUCAACCUCAUUGACUCUCCUGGCCACGUUGACUUCUCCUCUGAGGUCACUGCUGCUCUCCGUAUCACCGAUGGUGCCCUUGUUGUCGUCGACUGUAUCGAGGGUGUCUGUGUUCAGACUGAGACUGUGCUGCGUCAGGCUCUUGGUGAGAG
rnacentral:lncRNA from 1 species